rnacentral:rRNA from 1 species
UUGCCCUACGGGGGGCAGCAGUGGGGGAUAUUGCACAAUGGGGGGAACCCUGAUGCAGCGACGCCGCGUGGGUGAAGAAGCGCCUCGGCGCGUAAAGCCCUGUCAGCAGGGAAGAAAAUGACGGUACCUGAAGAAGAAGCCCCGGCUAACUACGUGCCAGCAGCCGCGGUAAUACGUAGGGGGCAAGCGUUAUCCGGAUUUACUGGGUGUAAAGGGAGCGUAGACGGUAUGGCAAGUCUGAUGUGAAAACCCGGGGCUCAACCUCGGGACUGCAUUGGAAACUGUCGGACUAGAGUGUCGGAGAG